GAUGAAGGACGUUACUAACGACGAUAUGCUUUGGGGAGCUGUAAGUAAGCUUUGAUCCAGAGAUUUCCGAAUGGGGAAACCCAGCAUGAGUUAUGUCAUGUUAUCGAUAUGUGAAUACAUAGCAUAUCAGAAGGCACACCCGGAGAACUGAAACAUCUUAGUACCCGGAGGAAGAGAAAGAAAAUUCGAUUCCCUUAGUAGCGGCGAGCGAAACGGGAAGAGCCCAAACCAACAAGCUUGCUU
rnacentral:rRNA from 1 species